GGCUGUCAGCAGCCAACUCAGGUACAGAGGGGACAAGAUGAUGCUGGUGGAGUUUUUCCAAGCCAUCCUGAACCAGCAUCCUCAUCCCACUGGGAAACAGCAAACUGCUUUUCAGCACAGACCCUGAACGAUCCUCCUCACCUUCUGCCUGGCUCAUUUACUGCAAUUAAAUGCUUGUAAACAGAUUAUACCCUGAAAGCUACAUUUUCCUGCUCGUUUCAUGUGGAGAUGGAUUCAAAACCUGCUCUGCUGCCCGGAUGGGCACUACAAUGAGUGCUGAAGGACAUGGUCUGUCAGUCCAGUCACCCUAAACCAACGCAGGGUGCCACUGUGACACCCUGCCCUGGCUUUAUUGAGAAGAACACCACCUCCCUUCCAGAGGAAAACCUAACCCAGGGAGCACUGGGGAUGCUAAUCCCUCGGUCACUGCAAGUUCAGCAGAUCAAGUUGCAGCACAAACCUGGAAAAGCCCCCAGGGAUCUGUCUCACUGCCUGGACCUUUAGCAGGAAAUGUGCCAACCAACGGGAGUGGACUUUUUUGUUGUCUGUAAUCAAGUAAAUCUCCCCAAAAUGAGUAAAAUUUACUUGCAGCUUCACAGAAUUGUGGAAAGAAUUUUAGAGCCGUGUACAGUUACAAUAAAUCACAGCAAGAUUUGACAUCAAACAGGAGGGAGCCUGGUACCCCCCAUAAUGGGAAACGACCUGGGGGUGGAAAUUACCCUUCCCCUCCACAUGGCAGCCACUUGUAACCAUUGUCCCUUGCCUGAGGACCUGUCUAAAACCUGUGCUUUUUCACCCUUGCCAAACAAGACAUCAGCACUCCCUGCAGCUUCUCCUCCUGAUGAAAACACGCUUCUACCUAACCUGGCUGCUUCAGGGCGCAAGCAGGUAACAAAUGGCACAGAAACUGCUGCAGCAUCCUCUCCUGAGACAGAAAGAUGCUUCCUCGGGGGCAGGCACUGUGCAAAAGGGCCUUUUGCAGCCAGAACAUUUGGACAAAGAGCUCACAUUUGACCAUUUGGUGCCCAGCAAGUGCCCACUGGGCAUCUGG